rnacentral:rRNA from 1 species
CACGCCGUAAACGAUGGGCACUAAACAUUGGCAGUAUCGACCCUGUCAGUGUUGUUUAACUAAGCUAACGCCUUAAGUGCCCCGCCUGGGAAGUACGGUCGCAAGACUAAAACUCAAAGGAAUUGACGGGAACCCGCACAAGCAGUGGAGCAUGUGGUUUAAUUCGAUGAUAAGCGAGGAACCUUACCAGGGUUUGACAUCCCUAGAAUCCCGCAGAAACGUGGGAGUGCCGCAAGGAGCUAGGUGACAGGUGC